UUUCAGUGACCUGUGAGGGAUGUCACCAUGUACAGUGAACUAGUCGCUUCCUGGGAACAUUCCCCUGCCCCAACCCCCGCCGAAGGUUAAGUGGGUGGGCUUGCUCCUCCUUUGGGGCUCCCCACCUCCAAACCCCACCCCAGACCAUCGUAAAGUUCCAAAGACUUCUUCUAACCAUUGACUCUGGAUCAGUGGAGGUUCCUGCCCUGUCCCCAGGGUGACCGACCACUGGGCUGUCCAACUGACCUUGGCCCAUUGAAAAGAGAAAAGAGCCCUGGUGUGUUCCAGAGAAGAGGAUUAACUUUCUCUCAGAGAUGAUGAUUACACCACAUCCUAGCUGGAAUCUCCAGCAGACAGAUGGCUGGAGACUCAGAAGUAGGUAGAGCUGGGGACUUAAUUGUUCUUCUUGACUGAUUUUAAAGUGUGCUUUGACUUGGCGUUUCUGCAGAAUAAAACAUAAGUAAAAAAGAA